rnacentral:tRNA from 1 species
UCCCUGGAGAACUAGUGGUUAGGCCACAGCGCUCUCGCCACUGUGGCACGGGUUCGAUUCCUGGCCAGGGAA